rnacentral:tRNA from 1 species
CGAGAGGUGGCGGAAUUUGGUAGACGCGUCUGCGUAAAGCAGAUGUCCUUAAUGAUCUGAGGACGUAUAGGUUCAAGUCCUAUCCUUGCGG